rnacentral:rRNA from 1 species
CCUACGGGGGGCUGCAGUGGGGAAUAUUGGACAAUGGGGGCAACCCUGAUCCAGCAAUGCCGCGUGAGUGAUGAAGGCCUUCGGGUUGUAAAGCUCUUUCGCCCACGACGAUGAUGACGGUAGUGGGAGAAGAAGCCCCGGCUAACUUCGUGCCAGCAGCCGCGGUAAUACGAAGGGGGCUAGCGUUGUUCGGAAUGACUGGGCGUAAAGGGCGCGUAGGCGGCGCAUCAAGUCGGGCGUGAAAGCCCCGGGCUCAACCUGGGAACUGCGUUCGAGACUGGUGUGCUAGAGUUCGGGAGAGGAGAGUGGAAUUCCCAGUGUAGAGGUGAAAUUCGUAGAUAUUGGGAAGAACACCAAUGGCGAAGGCAGCUCUCUGGACCGAUACUGACGCUGAGGCGCGAAAGCGUGGGGAGCAAACAGGAUUAGAUACCCCAGUAGUC